rnacentral:lncRNA from 1 species
GUGGGGCUCCCAGUUGGGCUCCCAGCCCCAUACUGGUCCGUACUGGUCCGUACUGGUCCAUACUGGUCCGUACUGGUCCGGCCCAAGGCCACGCAGCUGCUGAAGCUCCCAGCCGGGACGCUGCGCUGGUCCGUACUGGUUUAUACUGGUUUAUACUGGUUUAUACUGGGAGGGGAGGUCUGGGGGUCCCUGCUGACCCCAGGGUGGCCUUGAGGACCCUGAGGUGACCUUGGGGACCCUGAGGUGGCCUUGGGGACCCUGAGGUGGCCUUGAGGACCCUGAGGUGGCCUUGGGGACCCUGAGGUGACCUUGAGGACCCUGAGGUGGCCUUGGGGACCUCAUGGUGGCCUUGAGGACCCUGAGGUGGCCUUGGGGUCCCUGAGGUGGCCUUGGGGUCCCUGAGGUGGCCUUGGGGACCCCGAAAGGACCCCCCUGAGCCCAGGUGGGGUCCCCACGGUGUCCUACAGACCCUGACAGUGACCAAAGGGUCCCCAAGGUGACCUCAGGACCUCUUGGAGAUGUUCCAUGGGGUCUCCACCCUGUCCUACAGACCUCCAGUGAUCCUAGAGACCCUCACAACAACCUCAGGACCUCUUGGAGAUGUUUUAUGGGGUCUCCACCCUGUCCUACAGACCUCCAGUGACUUUGGACAACUUCAGGACCUCUCUGAGAUGUUUUAUGGGGUCUCCACCUUGUCCUACAGACCUCCAGUAAUUUCCAAGCCUUCCACGAUGACCUCAAGACCCCUU